rnacentral:rRNA from 1 species
UUCAGUGGCGAUAGCGGCGGGGAUCCACCUGUUCCCAUGCCGAACACAGUAGUUAAGCCCGCAAACGCCGAAAGUACUUGGAUGGAAGCGUCCUGGGAGGAUAGGAAGCCGCUGAUU